CCUAAUAUCUAGCCUAUUUUCACUUGUAUAAACCCCCAACCCUCCCCAUUUUUAAAUAAACCAUUUUUACUUCUUAGUACAGGCGAUCAAAAAAUGUCUGAGCGCUUUAGAUAAAGUACCGCAAGGGAAUGAUGAAAUAGUUAUGAAAUAGCCCUAAAGCCAAAAAUAGCAGAGAUUAAUACUUGUACCUUUUGCAUCAUGGUCUAGCUAGUCCACCCAAGCAAAACGAAACUUUUAGUUUGACCUCCCGAAACUAAGUGAGCUACUUCAAAACAGCCUUAAGGGCGAACCCGUCUCUGUUGCAAAAGAGUGGGAAGAUUUUCAAGUAGGGGUGAUAAGCCUACCGAACUUAGAGAUAGCUGGUUGUUCAGGAAAAGAGUUUAAGCUCUACCUUAAGUUUUCCCCGUUAUUUCAAACAUCUUGUUAAACUUAAGAGCUAUUCAAAUAAGGCACAGCUUAUUUGAAAAAGGUUACAACCUAUAAGAUCGGGUUAAGCUAAAAAAAUUAAAAAUUAAGUGGGCCUAAAAGCAGCCAUCUCGGACAAAAGCGUUAAAGCUUAGCUAUUAAAAUAUUUUCAAUUCCCUAAAUUAUUCUUAACCCAUCACCACUACUGAACUAUUUUAUACUAUUAUAAAAGAUUUUAUGUUAGAACUAGUAAUAAGAAAUUGUUUUUCUCCAAAAUGUAAGUAUAAACCAGUAUGGACACACCACCGGUCCUUAACGUAAAUGUAUUACUUAUAGCACCGCAUAAAUCAAGAAUAGCCUAUAUAACCCUCUAAACGUUAAUUUUACACCAAAACAUCUCAGGAAAGAUUAAAAGAAAAAGAAGGAACUCGGCAAACAUUAACCCCGCCUGUUUACCAAAAACAUCGCCUCUUGACAAAAAUAUAAGAGGUCCAGCCUGCCCAGUGACUAAGUUCAACGGCCGCGGUACCCUAACCGUGCGAAGGUAGCAUAAUCACUUGUUCUUUAAAUAGGGACUCGUAUCAACGGCAUCACGAGGGUUAUACUGUCUCCUUUUUCUAAUCAGUGAAACUGAUCCCCCCGUGAAGAAGCGGGGAUAAACCUAUAAGACGAGAAGACCCCAUGGAGCUUUAAACCAAUUAUAUUAUUCUUCAUCUUAAAUCAUAUUAGUAUUAGAAUAUUAUAUAAUAGUUUUAGAUUGGGGGGAUCGCGGAGUAAAACUAAACCUCCUUGACAAACGGGCCCUGCCUUAAUUUAAGAAGUACUCUUCUAAAAAUCAAUAUAUUGAUGUUUAAUGACCCAAAUUUUUGAUCAACGAACCAAGUUACCCUGGGGAUAACAGCGCAAUCUACUUCAAGAGCCCAUAUCGACAAGUGGGUUUACGACCUCGAUGUUGGAUCAGGAUAUCCAAGUGGUGCAGCCGCUAC
rnacentral:rRNA from 1 species